rnacentral:rRNA from 1 species
UGGGAAAUUGCCCUGAUGUGGGGGAUAACCAUUGGAAACGAUGGCUAAUACCGCAUAAUAGCUUCGGCUCAAAGAGGGGGACCUUCGGGCCUCUCGCGUCAGGAUAUGCCCAGGUGGGAUUAGCUAGUUGGUGAGGUAAUGGCUCACCAAGGCGACGAUCCCUAGCUGGUCUGAGAGGAUGAUCAGCCACACUGGAACUGAGACACGGUCCAGACUCCUACGGGAGGCAGCAGUGGGGAAUAUUGCACAAUGGGCGCAAGCCUGAUGCAGCCAUGCCGCGUGUAUGAAGAAGGCCUUCGGGUUGUAAAGUACUUUCAGCAGUGAGGAAGGUGGUGUCGUUAAUAGCGGCAUCAUUUGACGUUAGCUGCAGAAGAAGCACCGGCUAACUCCGUGCCAGCAGCCGCGGUAAUACGGAGGGUGCGAGCGUUAAUCGGAAUUACUGGGCGUAAAGCGCAUGCAGGUGGUUUGUUAAGUCAGAUGUGAAAGCCCGGGGCUCAACCUCGGAAUUGCAUUUGAAACUGGCAGACUAGAGUACUGUAUAGGGGGGUAGAAUUUCAGGUGUAGCGGUGAAAUGCGUAGAGAUCUGAAGGAAUACCGGUGGCGAAGGCGGCCCCCUGGACAGAUACUGACACUCAGAUGCGAAAGCGUGGGGAGCAAACACGAUUAGAUACCCUGGUAGUCCACGCCGUAAACGAUGUCUACUUGGAGGUUGUGGCCUUGAGCCGUGGCUUUCGGAGCUAACGCGUUAAGUAGACCGCCUGGGGAGUACGGUCGCAAGAUUAAAACUCAAAUGAAUUGACUGGGGCCCGCACAAGCGGUGGAGCAUGUGGUUUAAUUCGAUGCAUCGCGAAGAACCUUACCUACUCUUGACAUCCUCAGAAGAGACUGGAGACAGUCUUGUGCCUUCGGGAACUGAGAGACAGGUGCUGCAUGGCUGUCGUCAGCUCGUGUUGUGAAAUGUUGGGUUAAGUCCCGCAACGAGCGCAACCCUUAUCCUUGUUUGCCAGCGAGUAAUGUCGGGAACUCCAGGGAGACUGCCGGUGAUAAACCGGAGGAAGGUGGGGACGACGUCAAGUCAUCAUGGCCCAUUACGAGUAGGGCUACACACGUGCUACAAUGGCGCAUACAGAGGGCRGCCAACUUGCGAAAGUGAGCGAAUCCCAAAAAGUGCGUCGUAGUCCGGAUUGGAGUCUGCAACUCGACUCCAUAGUCGGAAUCGCUAGUAAUCGUGGAUCAGAAUGCYACGGUGAAUACGUUCCCGGGCCUUGUACACACCGCCCGUCACACCAUGGGAGUGGGCUGCAAAAGAAGUGGGUAGUUUAACCUUCGGGGGGACGCUCACCACUUUGUGGUUCAUG